rnacentral:rRNA from 1 species
UUGGAGGGCAAGUCUGGUGCCAGCAGCCGCGGUAAUUCCAGCUCCAAUAGCGUAUAUUAAAGUUGUUGCAGUUAAAAAGCUCGUAGUUGAAUUUCGGGGUCAGUAGGUUGGUCAUGCCACUGGUAUGUACUGGUCUCACUGAUUCCUCCUUCCUGAUGAGCCGUAAUGCCAUUAAUUUGGUGUUGCGAGGAAUCUGGACUGUUACUUUGAAAAAAUUAGAGUGUUUAAAGCAGGCUAACGCUUGAAUACAUUAGCAUGGAAUAAUGAAAUAGGACGUUCGAUCUUAUUUUGUUGGUUUCUAAGAUUGACGUAAUGAUUAAUAGGGAUAGUUGGGGGCAUUAGUAUUCAAUUGUCAGAGGUGAAAUUCUUGGAUUUAUUGAAGACUAACUACUGCGAAAGCAUUUGCCAAGGAUGUUUUCAUUAAUCAAGAACGAAAGUUAGGGGAUCGAAGACGAUCAGAUACCGUCGUAGUCUUAACCAUAAACUAUGCCGACUAGGGAUCGGAUGAUGUUAAUUUUUUAAUGACUCAUUCGGCGCCUUACGGAAACCAAAGUGUUUGGGUUC